UUAUCUUUUUUCUUGUCUCUUGCUCCUCAUUUGGUGGAAGUUUUUGUACUAUACUUCCUUCUUUUAUAAAACUAUAUGGUAUAAAUUUUGUGUACUCUUGAAAAAAAAGAAUGUGUGAAUGUACUGUCCAUUUAAUUAGUGAAGCAAUUUUGUUUUCUCUCAAAACAUUCUCCUUUUUUAGGGAAACAAUAAAAUUCUAUUCGUGGGACCUCUCUUCUCCCUUCCCGCUGAUGCCAUGGCGACGAAGGGGAAAUAAACCCCAUCUGCAGGAACGAGGCUGGCUUGUUCGCACUAGUUCUGCUGACCCACUAAAAUCAGAUCCUUCAUUAAAUUAACACAUCCUGCUUCUCCCGGCGACGGGCAGCGACGGCCGCGGCGAAGGAGGAGAAGGGGAUGAGGGGUUGCGGCCAGAGGGAUGUAUUACGGGGAAAUCCUCGCCGCGCAGGUGUAGGGUCGUCGGAGGGAGAGGGUCGCUGGUGACUGGAUUGCCUGAAACUGCAUCCAUCAAGUUCCUUUUACUAACCACCAUCUCACCACCAUCACCAUGACAAAACUUGCCGCUCUAACGGCAUGCGCCACGACCAUCAUUGCGUCCUUCGUUGUGUUCAUGACGAUGAUUACCCCGUACCCCUUUGGUGCCCACCAUGCCCCCCUUGCUCGGCGAAGAAUCGCAUCCCCAAAAGAAGUGCGUGGACACCAAUGUCCAUGACAAAAUGGAUGGUACAGAUACGUCAUGUACUCACUUGUGUUGGUAUAGAGGUCGUACCUAUUUUUUUAGUGUAUUUAUGGUUCUCUGGUGUGAAUUUGUAAAUGUUGGAGGAGUGGUGGUACAUCAUGCGGAAGAGGAUCCCCAAAGAGGAUGCUGAACUUUGUGGAAACAAACAAAUACUAGAGUGUUCAAUAAUUGUUCACAACAAAUGCCUCUAAUGGAUCUUGCACCUUUAUCAUUUAAGAAUUGGAAAUUUGGGUGGCUGUCACAGGCCAGAGUAUCGCAAGUUUUUGUGAGUAGAAGGGUAUUUGAGUAGACGAACGCUUGUUUUUCUUUUUUUUAAUCCUUUUUCUUGUCUCUUGCUUCUCAUUUGGUGGAAGUUUUGUAUUAUACUUCCUUCUUUUAUAAAACUAUAUGGUACAAAUUUUGUGUACUCUCGAAAAAAAAGAAUGUGUGAAUGUACUGUCCAUUUAAUCAGUGAAGUAAUUUUGUUUUCUCUCAAAACUUUCUCCUUUUUUGGGGGAAACAAUAAAAUUCUCUUCGUGGGACCUCUCUUCUCCCUUCCCGCUGAUGACAUGGUGACGAAGGGAAACAAACCCCACCGGCAGGAGCGAGGCUGGCUUGUUCGCACUAGUUUAGCUGACCCAUUAAAAUCAGAUCCUUCAUUAAAUUAACACAUCCUACUUCUCCCGGCGACGGGCAGCGGCGGCCGCGGCGAAGGAGGAGAAGGGGAUGACAGGUUGCGCCCAGAGGGAUGUAUAACGGGGAAAUCCUCUCCGCGCCGGUGUAGGGUCGUCGGAGGGAGAGGGUCGCUGGUGACUGGAACGGGAUGCAAUGGUGCAGGUCGAGAACUUUCAGAAAAGAGGGUGGCGGUGGCUUCACCACACUAUCUAGUUUGUACAUGUGCUUUAAGCAUUUUUUACUAUUUUGUUUUGCCGGAUUAUUAGUAAAUUCGUUUCGGCUGUUUUAGACCCAAAGUGGUCGGACCCUUCCCCGGACCCUGCAUAAGCAGGAGCUACAUGCACCGGGUUGCCCUUUUUUAUUUUGGUUGUUUACGAGUGUUCAUGGUAUCAGUUUUCAGUAA